rnacentral:snRNA from 1 species
GUGCUCACCUCAGCAGCACAUACGCUAAAAUUGGAACGAUACAGAGAAGAUUAAUAUGGCCCCUGUGCAAGGAUGACAUGCAAGUUAGUGAAGCAUUCCAUAUUUUU